UACGUAGGUGGCAAGCGUUGUCCGGAUUUAUUGGGUUUAAAGGGUGCGUAGGCGGCCCUGUAAGUCAGUGCUGAAAUAUCCCGGCUUAACCGGGAGGGUGGCAUUGAUACUGCAGAGCUUGAGUACAGAUGAGGUAGGCGGAAUUGACGGUGUAGCGGUGAAAUGCUUAGAUAUCGUCAAGAACACCUAUAGCGAAGGCAGCUUACUAGGCUGUAACUGACGCUGAGGCACGAAAAGUGUGGGGGAGCAAAACAGG
rnacentral:rRNA from 1 species